GAACUUCCGUUAAUUGAUUAUGACGUGCUUGCACUGAAUGAGAUUUUAACACGAAGUGAGUGGCGGACGGGUGAGUAACACGUGGGUAACCUGCCCAGAAGCAGGGGAUAACACCUGGAAACAGAUGCUAAUACCGUAUAACAGAGAAAACCGCCUGGUUUUCUUUUAAAAGAUGGCUCUGCUAUCACUUCUGGAUGGACCCGCGGCGCAUUAGCUGGUUGGUGAGGUAACGGCUCACCAAGGCGAUGAUGCGUAGCCGACCUGAGAGGGUAAUCGGCCACAUUGGGACUGAGACACGGCCCAGACUCCUACGGGAGGCAGCAGUAGGGAAUCUUCCACAAUGGACGCAAGUCUGAUGGAGCAACGCCGCGUGAGUGAAGAAGGGUUUCGGCUCGUAAAGCUCUGUUGUUAAAGAAGAACGUGGGUGAGAGUAACUGUUCACCCAGUGACGGUAUUUAACCAGAAAGCCACGGCUAACUACGUGCCAGCAGCCGCGGUAAUACGUAGGUGGCAAGCGUUAUCCGGAUUUAUUGGGCGUAAAGCGAGCGCAGGCGGUCUUUUAAGUCUAAUGUGAAAGCCUUCGGCUCAACCGAAGAAGUGCAUUGGAAACUGGGAGACUUGAGUGCAGAAGAGGACAGUGGAACUCCAUGUGUAGCGGUGAAAUGCGUAGAUAUAUGGAAGAACACCAGUGGCGAAGGCGGCUGUCUGGUCUGUAACUGACGCUGAGGCUCGAAAGCAUGGGUAGCGAACAGGAUUAGAUACCCUGGUAGUCCAUGCCGUAAACGAUGAUUACUAAGUGUUGGAGGGUUUCCGCCCUUCAGUGCUGCAGCUAACGCAUUAAGUAAUCCGCCUGGGGAGUACGACCGCAAGGUUGAAACUCAAAAGAAUUGACGGGGGCCCGCACAAGCGGUGG
rnacentral:rRNA from 1 species